AUUGAACGCUGGCGGCAGGCCUAACACAUGCAAGUCGAACGGUAACAGGAAGAAGCUUGCUUCUUUGCUGACGAGUGGCGGACGGGUGAGUAAUGUCUGGGAAACUGCCUGAUGGAGGGGGAUAACUACUGGAAACGGUAGCUAAUACCGCAUAACGUCGCAAGACCAAAGAGGGGGACCUUCGGGCCUCUUGCCAUCGGAUGUGCCCAGAUGGGAUUAGCUAGUAGGUGGGGUAACGGCUCACCUAGGCGACGAUCCCUAGCUGGUCUGAGAGGAUGACCAGCCACACUGGAACUGAGACACGGUCCAGACUCCUACGGGAGGCAGCAGUGGGGAAUAUUGCACAAUGGGCGCAAGCCUGAUGCAGCCAUGCCGCGUGUAUGAAGAAGGCCUUCGGGUUGUAAAGUACUUUCAGCGGGGAGGAAGGGAGUAAAGUUAAUACCUUUGCUCAUUGACGUUACCCGCAGAAGAAGCACCGGCUAACUGCGUG
rnacentral:rRNA from 1 species